GUUGUUUUGAGCUUUCUUGAUGAAAAGCUGUACAAGUGAAACACAGUUUAGUGAAUGUCACCUUCGUGGAUAUCUGACUAUGGCAAAUGUACCAUGAUGUCAGCCUGCUGGAAUGCCUUAGUAAGAGCUUCCUUCCUCUGAAUACUGGUAAGAACCAUGGAAGAACUUCCAUCCAUAAACCAAAGCAAAAGGCUAAAGGAUAUAAAAAAGAACUGCCAGCUCUGGCACAGUGUUACAAAAAUAGUCCCCUUUUUGUACACAAGAUUACUACAAGGUACACAAGGUACCUCCUUGAGCUCAUCUUCUGCAUGCCC